UCUCUUCAAUGCUUUUCAAUUAGGAAAAUGUGGAAUUGGAAUUUGGUUUACUUCCUGAAUUGAUUGUAACUGAAAUGGAAUUGACCCCCCCCCAACCCUGAAGUGCACUUCAGUAUCAGGAAUGUUCUCUGGUUUAGUGUCAUGGUAAAAAAAACUUAGUGCUCCGGUACUUUGGUGGUUGGGUAUGGCAGUAGGGUAGAGGUCAACAUAGACAGUAGUCUAGUAGGGUAGAGGUCACCAUAGACAGUAGUCUUGGUGGUUGGGUAUGGCAGUAGGGUAGAGGUCACCAUAGACAGUAGUCUAGUAGGGUAGAGGUCAACAUAGACAGUAGUCUAGUAGGGUAUAGGUCAACAUAGACAGUAGUCUAGUAGGGUAGAGGUCAACAUAGACAGUAGUCUAGUAGGGUAGAGGUCAACAUAGACAGUAGUCUAGUAGGGUAGAGGUCAACAUAGACAGUAGUCUAGUAGGGUAGAGGUCAACAUAGACAGUAGUCUAGUAGGGUAGAGGUCAACAUAGACAGUAGUCUAGUAGGGUAGAGGUCAACAUAGACAGUAGUCUAGUAGGGUAGAGGUCAACAUAGACAGUAGUCUUGGUGGUUGGGUAUGACAGUAGGGUAGAGGUCACCAUAGACAGUAGUCUUGGUGGUUGGGUAUGGCAGUAGGGUAGAGGUCAACAUAGACAGUAGUCUAGUAGGGUAGAGGUCACCAUAGACAGUAGUCUUGGUGGUUGGGUAUGGCAGUAGGGUAGAGGUCACCAUAGACAGUAGUCUUGGUGGUUGGGUAUGACAGUAGGGUAGAGGUCACCAUAGACAGUAGUCUUGGUGGUUGCGUAUGACAGUAGGGUAGAGGUCACCAUAGACAGUAGUCUUGGUGUUCGGGGUAUGACAGUAGGGUAGAGGUCAACAUAGACAGUAGUCUUGGUGGUUGGGUAUGACAGUAGGGUAGAGGUCAACAUAGACAGUAGUCUUGGUGGUUGCGUAUGACAGUAGGGUAGAGGUCACCAUAGACAGUAGUCUUGGUGUUCGGGGUAUGACAGUAGGGUAGAGGUCACCAUAGACAGUAGUCUUGGUGGUUGGGUAUGACAGUAGGGUAGAGGUCUGGACUGAGGACUGAGGGUUAAGGGGCUCAGCUGUUAGUAGUAGGGAGGACUGAGGGUUUAGGGGCUCAGCUGUUAGUAGUA